rnacentral:lncRNA from 1 species
GGGAUACCAUUUGGAGAUUUAUUCCGAUUACUUUGCUGACUUGCUUUCUUUGAUGGUGCUAGCUUGAGAGAUCACCGGGUUUCUUGCUUCUUUAGUUGUUAUUACUUCGGAUUUUUAUCCGUGUGGUAGAUCUCUUGAUCCCUUUAUCUUUCCCGCAUUUUACCGCUUUCUUAGCUGGAAGACCUCGAUAGGAGGCGAUGUUUUUU